rnacentral:rRNA from 1 species
UACGGAGGGGGCUAGCGUUGUUCGGAAUUACUGGGCGUAAAGCGCACGUAGGCGGCUUUGUAAGUUAGAGGUGAAAGCCCGGGGCUCAACUCCGGAAUUGCCUUUAAGACUGCAUAGCUUGAAUUGUGGAGAGGUGAGUGGAAUUCCGAGUGUAGAGGUGAAAUUCGUAGAUAUUCGGAAGAACACCAGUGGCGAAGGCGACUCACUGGACACAUAUUGACGCUGAGGUGCGAAAGCGUGGGGAGCAAACGGG